CCGGCCACUGGUUUAGUCGACAGGGUAGACGGACACCUAGUCCCUCUCACUCCCCACUGAAGCUUGGGCAUGAUGCCCACUUGCUGGCGGCAGCAGCAGCAGCAGCAGCAGCAGAGAAACAGGAUGCACAAGCUCAGCAUCUGUUUCUCUGGAGCACAGACUCCCAGAGCCUCAGCGGUGGGAGGGGCUCCGCUGCUGUCCGUCCAAGCUGGCUUUUCAGACGACUGCGAAGGGCAGGUAGGGGGUCGUACAUUGGGAACCUGUCUUAGAGUAAGAUGGUGGCAGCUAUAUUAAACGAAGGAGAGCUGAGAAACAGAAGUAGGAAGACAGGCCACACCCUGUUUGCAAAGCAGGAAAGCAAAGUUCUCCGUCCUGCUGUGUUUUCCUUCAGCCAACCUGUCUGCAGCCCCAGGUGUGUCAGGAGAAGCGCUGGCAGAAAACACUUCAUCUUCCUGUGCCCUCCCGACCGUGCUGUGGCUCAGCAGGGAAAACAGAAAAUGAGAAGAGCAAGAAAGCAACAACAGCUAGCUUCAUGUUGCACAGGACUAAGCUGAGCCUGCUAACCAGAGGCCUGCUAACCAGAGGCCUGCUAACCAGAGGCCUGCUAACCAGAGGCCUGCUAACCAGAGGCCUGCUAACCAGAGGCCUGCUAACCAGAGGCCUGCUAACCAGAGGUCAACACUGGGUCUAGCUAGACAGCAAGACAGAAGAAGAAAAUCUAAAUAUAGAUAAUUCCUAUCAGACCAUUGGGCUCAUUGUGUCCUGCAUCUUAUCACAAUUGUUAUUGAAGUAAGUCUGAAAAAGUCUUGGGAUGGAAACAAAGGUAACAUCUGGCCUUGGAGUCGCUGUCCUCCACUGUUCCACCCCCUUCCCUUCAAAACAGACAAACACAUAUACCCACCCACAUCCCUAAGAAGAUAAAGCCAGUGUCUGCUGCUCCCUUUUGUUCUUUCCAUUCCCGUCUGUUCCCAAAGCUCUGUAUCUUUCCUCACGCAUCCAUGGUAAGGUCUUGAUAGCAGCUACAGCCAUCAGGCCUGGGGCUGUAACUUAGUAUCCAUGCAUCAUCAAGAACAUA